CCUACGGUGGCUGCAGUGGGGAAUAUUGGACAAUGGGGGGAACCCUGAUCCAGCCAUGCCGCGUGUGUGAAGAAGGCCCUCGGGUUGUAAAGCACUUUCAGUGAGGAAGAACGCCUGGUGGUUAAUACCCAUCAGGAAAGACAUCACUCACAGAAGAAGCACCGGCUAACUCCGUGCCAGCAGCCGCGGUAAUACGGAGGGUGCGAGCGUUAAUCGGAAUUACUGGGCGUAAAGCGCGCGUAGGUGGCUUGAUAAGCCGGUUGUGAAAGCCCCGGGCUCAACCUGGGAACGGCAUCCGGAACUGUCAAGCUAGAGUGCAGGAGAGGAAGGUAGAAUUCCCGGUGUAGCGGUGAAAUGCGUAGAGAUCGGGAGGAAUACCAGUGGCGAAGGCGGCCUUCUGGACUGACACUGACACUGAGGUGCGAAAGCGUGGGUAGCAAACAGGAUUAGAUACCCCUGUAGUC
rnacentral:rRNA from 1 species